AAAUCAAGAGCUUAAAACUAUAAUAAACAAUCUCAUACAAUCCACCGGAAACAUGGAACGAACGAUUACCGAAAUUCCGUUAUUUCUUCGGAAGGGUGGAUUAAACAAUAACAGACCAAAUCGAGCCAUUAUUAAUUUCCUGGAACAUCCAUUCGAUGCGUUACCUGAUCUUCUUGCUUUCGAUUAUUCAUUUGCGGACGACGAACCGAAACGCAGACAAUUUGCACAAAAAAUCUGUGAAAAGGAUGGCCUAAAUUUGCAAAAAGCUAUCAGUAAAGCUAUGGCCACCGUUAUGGCAGACCAAUUGGCUACCAGGAGAGGAUAAUAUUUUACGUGUUUCAACGACAAAGGUCGCCCAAAUCAUCACAG